ACUGAUUCGCAGCUGAACAUGACAGUAAAAUGUUAUAAAUUGCGUUGUAUUGGAAAAUCAAACGAACACUGUGAUAUUAUCGCCAUGCAUCCAGAAUACAGCAACUACUCCAACAAACAAUAUAUCCCUAACCAAUAUUAUUACCCAAUGGCAGCAUAUGCGCCUCCAAUUGCACAACAAACAAACCGAAUUUAUGUGAACAAGAAUUUUAUGCAGCCGCCUGUCAGUAACACAGUUCUAGUGAAUCCAAACUUCAGCAGACAAGUUCAUGUUAAUCCGAAUUUUCUAAACCCAAGACCGUCUUUGUCAACCCAAAUGUGUUUAAUAAAGUUGGUGGUGCCAUGCAGCCUCCUAAAACUGCA